rnacentral:rRNA from 1 species
CCUACGGGGGGCAGCAGUAAGGAAUAUUGGUCAAUGGACGAAAGUCUGAACCAGCCAUGCCGCGUGGAGGAUGAAGGUCCUCUGGAUUGUAAACUUCUUUUAUAUGGGACGAAAAAAGGCUUUUCUAGGUCGUCUGACGGUACCAUAUGAAUAAGCACCGGCUAACUCCGUGCCAGCAGCCGCGGUAAUACGGAGGGUGCAAGCGUUAUCCGGAUUCACUGGGGUGAAGGUGUGCGUGGAUGGCAUUGUUGAAAUCCGCGAGCUUAACUUGGGAGCUGCCAUUGAUACUAUCAGUCUUGAAUACCGUGGAGGUCAGCGGAAUAUGUCAUGUAGCGGUGAAAUGCUUAGAUAUGACAUAGAACACCAAUUGCGAAGGCAGCUGGCUACCCGAAUAUUGACACUGAGGCACGAAAGCGUGGGGAUCAAACAGGAUUAGAUACCCGAGUAGUC